AUAAAAUCAGAACCCCAUUGAUUUCUCCUGUGCGAGAAAUUCACAGCUGCGUCCUCCAUUUCUCUGUUUCUCUGUUUCUGCGUUCAUUAAAGUCUUCUCUCUCUCCUCUGUGCCCAUUUGUGAUUGCUUUCUCUCUCUGCAGCGCGCUUUCGAUUUCUCUCACUCGGUGUAUUAACAUCAUUGGGGCGUGGGCAUCUGUACGAUUCAAUUUUUCCCUCCAUUGUUGCUCCAGAUCCGCGCUCCUCCAUUCGUCGGUGAUGCGAACCCUCUCUUGGCUUCUCCCCAUUUACCCUCUACUUCUAAUUUGAUUCUCGAUUUGUAAUCCACCGAGAAUUCCGUUUGUUUGUUCCCAUUUUUCUGCUAUUCUGCGCGAUCUUGAAUCCGUAUGCCACCUUGAAUUCUUUUGUUACUCAGCUUGCGAUUUCUGGGGGUGUUGAUAUGUCUUCCACUCGAUUGGAUACGAAGCAGUACUUCACAACCAGUGGUCUUGUGGUUGGUUAUGCUCUUUGUUCCAGCUUGCUUGCUGUUAUAAACAAGUUUGCCAUUACCAAAUUUAACUACCCUGGCCUUUUGACGGCGCUGCAGUAUCUAACCUCUGCUGUUGGAGUUUGGGUUUUGGGGAAACUUGGGUUUUUGCAUCAUGACCCCUUCAUAUACGCAACUGCUAAGAAGUUUUUACCUGCGGCAUUUGUGUUCUAUCUCGCAAUCUUUACCAACACGAAUCUUCUUCGUCAUGCUAAUGUGGAUACUUUCAUAGUAUUCAGAUCCUGCACCCCCCUUUUAGUUGCGAUAGCAGAUACCAUGUUUAGAAAACAACCGUGUCCAUCUAAGCUCACAUUUGUAUCGCUGCUGAUCAUUUUGGGUGGAGCAGUUGGGUAUGUGGCUACUGAUUCUGCAUUUACUUUGACUGCUUAUUCAUGGGCAUUUGCUUAUUUGGUGACAAUUACGACCGAGAUGGUUUACAUCAAACACAUGGUUACAAAUCUUGGGCUGAACACAUGGGGUUUUGUCCUGUACAAUAAUCUAAUUUCCUUGAUCUUGGCCCCUGUCUUCUGGUUCAUUACUGGAGAGUAUGCUGAUGUUUUCGCUGCUUUAGGCUCAGCUGCAGGAGAUUGGUUUCAGUAUGAUGCAUUUUUUGCUGUAUCCUUAUCGUGUGUAUUUGGUUUUCUCAUAAGCUUCUUUGGUUUUGCGGCAAGAAAGGCAAUUUCUGCUACUGCCUUUACAGUAACUGGUGUAGUUAACAAGUUUCUAACAGUUGCUAUCAAUGUGGUGAUUUGGGAUAAGCAUGCGAAUCCAUUUGGUUUGGUCUGCCUCCUUUUCACAAUUUCAGGGGGUGUUCUCUAUCAGCAGUCAGUUACUGGAGUUGGCGUUGCCUCAUCGACACCGCUCAAGACUACUGGAGACGAGAAGCUUCUUGAGGAAAAUGAAGGCAAGGCUUCUGGUAAACUUUCCUCCGUAUGAGGUUUUUCUUGGAACUUAGAUUUUUUGGCUACUGAUGAAAAAAACUGGGAUAUUUGAAUUCUAUAUGAACUUAGGUAUGGGAUCUUCUAAGUUCUACAUAAGAAUUUCGACGCUGUAGUUCAUUCUGGAAUAUUACUAUUGAUAUGUAUUUUCAUGGGCUGUCAUUCAUACAUGCUUUCAAGGAUCUUAUAUGUAUACCAAUUUUCUACGAAUUCCUAAUUUGCAAUAGAAGGGUUUUAUGCAUUUAGCUCAGGGAUUCAUUUGACAUAAACAUAGUAGCAGCAAAUUGUGAUCAGACUUUCAACAUCUCUAGCUGAUAUUUGAAAACUGAGAAACUCUAUGGUAUGGACUAGAUACUAUCUAAUGUACCUUCCCUCACUGAAAGUAAUCUUUUUUUACUCAUUUUUCACUCAACAGAAGCACCACACUCUCGUGAGUUGUGAGAUUUCACGGAUGUUGCAAGUAGAAUUUCGUUUUUCUUGCCAAAAUAUCACCCUUCAUAGGACCAUGUUGUUAGCAGUAAUGGCUCUUUGAGCUGUUGGAUGCAGAGUUUAUUGGACCUCUUGUUUACUUUCAAUUUCAACAGCUGAUCGUCAAACUUAUCCAUCAUCUUACUGCUUGGUUAAGGAUUAAUUUAUUCAUGUCUCUCUGUCUCUAUCUCUCUCUCUCUCGUGGUGGGAGGGGGGUGGGUCAUCUUUAUUUAACUCUAUGUCGGUUUGGUACUUUAGUUCUCCUACUCCAUAAUCUCCUCAAACAAUCCACUGAUAUUUGAGUCAAACUGAACAGCAAUCUUUAACUUCUGCUGUGUUGAUAUUUAUGAAUGAUCACCAGAAAUCUCCACAAAAACUACAUCCAUUCUUAAAUGGUGAAACCUAUUGCGGUCUCGUACAACUAUUUCUCUUUUGUAAAACCUUUGAGAUGAUCUUAAGAGCAGAGUGGCAAUCAGUGCAAACACAAAGAUUUUUCACAAUUCGAGUGAAGGCUAAGAGCAGUCACCUUUUCUUCUUUAUCCAUCUCAAACAGAACUUCUGAUUUCUCAGGAAUGUAGCCAGCUUCCUUCAACUUACUAAUCAUGUCGUCUAGCAUCGUAUAGAUUUCCCUUGACUGAGGAUGAGAAGAAUCACCCUUCCCAAAUUGAUGGACCACUCCACUAACCUCAAUCAAGCUGCAACCAGGGGGCUUAUUCAACUUUCUUUCUGCCAUGAGUGGUCUGAUCCUUUUAGAUCCUUCCCACUUGAUAGAACUUAUGUUCCAGCAUCUUGGGAUCAAGUUUCAGAAGCUGUUGGGCUGAUUUCUCAGUUCUGCAGGCACCAAGAAGCCCUCCCAGAGUAAAGUGAUCUGCUUCCAUUGGCAUAUUCUGAAUCAACUCCUCUGCUUCAGCUAUGCGACCAACUCUGCCUAAUAAAUCAACCAUACAGCCAUAGUGUUCAAUUCCAGGUUGAAUUCCAUACACAUUAGACAUUACUUUGAAAUACUUCACUCUUCUGCAUCUCGUUGAAAUACUUCAAGGCCUUCUCUCCUAGUCCAGACAUCGCAAAGCCAAGAAUCAAAGCCGUCCAAGUCAUAACAUCUUUCUCUGGAAGUUCUUGGAAAACCUUAGUCGCACUCUCUAUGCUCCCACAUUUAGCAUACAUGUCAACAAGCGCCGUACCUAAUGCAAGAUCCAUCUCGAUUUUCUCUUUUCUCCCAAAUAGCUGCAAGCAACCAGCAAACUAACCCUUAUCGCCUUUGAUCCCCUUCAGUUGCAUUUCACAGAAGAGCAGGAAAGCCUCUUCAUAGUCACUAUCCUCUACAUGUCCAUUAACUAUGAUGCCCCAACAGAACAAGUUCUUCUGAGGCAUUCUGAUUCUGUCAAACAAAUCUCUAGCAAUCAAAUUCGAGCCGUCAUCAACACAUUAUGGUACCCAGAACCAUUGUCAUCAAUGCACUCGUUCACCCGUUUCAGCGUCUUCAAAUCCCUUGCGAUGGCACAAGCAGUCAAAACGCUAAUCAAGGCAACGCCAUUGGCUUUCACAUUCUCAACCUCGUUCAAUGGCCUUCUCUGGUCCAUCCCACUGCUCAGAAGCACCAACCAUGGUUGCCCAAGAAACCAGACUUGUAUCCAGCAUUUUGUCGAACACCUUCUGUGCCUCAACCAAACACCCAGAAUUCGAGUACAGAAUACAUCAAAGUGUUCUGAAUAUAAGAAUCUGAAGUGAACCCGAGGUUUGUGGAGUGGCCUUGAACAAAGAAGACGACCGUCAACGACCGACCAUUUGUUGAUAGAAAAGAAGCGAGAAUAAUGGAAUUGCAAGUGAAGAGACAUGGGUGCGGUUGAAAUGAGCUGCUUCUGCUAGUUUUGGCGGUGGCCGUGGCACAGGCACCGCCAUUACCGCGCAUUUCCCUUGCAUUAUAUAUAACUAAAAGUUCUAUAUGGCAUUAGGAGAUACAGACCCAAACCGAUGUUUUAGACCAUCAACUUUCAACUAUUGGGAUUGGGAAUGGGAAUUAAUUAGUUCUUAAAUUUUGCCUUCUAAACUACUUUGAUCACUGUGGUAUUGUUUCGUUAAUCAAGUAUUUAUUCAUGCAACCCUUCAUUUAUUUGCAACACGACAUCGUAAAAUCGAGUAUAAUUCGCCGGUAA